UGUAAAGGCCGUUCUGGUGGCUACUGAUUUAUUUGCUGAUUUCUUGCAAGGAUUUCGGAUGAUCAUUUUUCUGCGGUCAGAACUUGAGAAGUGAUAGAUCUGCCAUUUAAUGGGUUACCCUAUCAGAAAAAUGAGAUAAACUCCAAUUGCCGAAAAAAAAUUUGCACCGACAAUAUCUAUGGUCAUACGAAGAAGCAAUAUGGCCCAACUCUUUCAGCCAAAGAUCCAGACCAAGAAAACAAUAAUGAAGGAGCAAGACCAGUGAUGUAGGUAUGAAAAUUGUACACGACCCCCAUGGUGCAGAUCCCCCGGACGCUUGCGUCAUGCAGUUUGCGCGCUCUGGCUUCUUCUUGUCCCUGUGCUCGUCUCCUCCCUCCUCGUCUCGACCUCCAACCAUGUCUAGUAGCUGCCCCGUGAGCCUCUGCAUCGCCCUGUGCCUCUGCCUUGUUGCCGUUCGCCAUGAAUGCGUCGCAAAUGCCAUGCCCGUGCCAUGCCCAGCCACUGCCCUCCAUUAAUGCUUGGUCGGGAGCUCGCCCGUGAGCUCCAAAAGCCUCCCCUCGGCCUAUAUAAGGACCCCUAGACUCUCCCGCAGCUCCCAAGCCCCUCCUAGUCCCUCCUAGCCCACCAGAGCCACGGCAUCUCGCCGGAGUUCGCCUCUGUUCGCCUCGGCCGCCGCGGUUCCUCCUUGGUUCCGGCGAGCUCGAGCAUCCCCUCCUCCCCUGGUGUUGUCCUCGAUCUCCCCCACCUCCUAGCAGUUCGCGCAAACCCCUUGCCCCUCGCCUGAGAGUUCCGUGGCCGCGUCGCCCUAGUCCGGCCGUCGUCUCCGUCGUUCGGCCACCGCAUCCUCUGGCCAUCCCGAGCCUCCUCGUGCCUCCCCGACUUCACAACGGCCUCCCCCUCGUCCUCGCGAGCCGCCCCGACUCCUCAGCCCUCGCCGGAGCGCCCUGCUCCGACGAACACCACCUCCGCGGAGCCGCCUCUGCCCUCCCAUGGCGCCGCCUCUCCCCUCCAGCCCUAUCCUCCCCGGUGGCCGUGCUCCCUCUGAACGGGUGCGGCGCAGCCCCGCGGUCCCGCCGGUACCCUCGGCCGGGCCGGGGAUCGCCGGAGCCGGCCGGCCCCUUGGCCGCUUCCCUCCCCUGCCCCGCUCUGUUCCACGGGAGGAACAAAGGCGCGGGAGGAAGAGGACGACCUCGCUGGCCCCCUCCCCCCUGCCCUUGGGUCCCACGCGCCAGUGGCCCAGGCGCCUCAGCCCACGUGGAUAAGUGGAGACGGGUUUCCCCCGGGGACCCGUUGGUGAUGAAAAUAUUCACAGAUUGGUCCCUGAUCUUCUACACCUCAUAACUCCGCAACCGUAACUCCGUUUAAGCCCCCUCCGAGAGAGAACUGUUU